rnacentral:lncRNA from 12 species
UGAACUAGACUCCAACAACUUGUGAAAUUUAAUGAAUCUAUUCAACUAGUGUCAGCCACGUCCAUAAAUAAUUUAAUAAGAAACCAUCAUCCAUGAAGGGGAAUGCAAGUCAAACAAUCAGAGAGGAACAGACCGGACCAAGGUCAACAUUAUGGGUUUUUCUCCUGGCUGGAUAGAGCAGAAAUGAAGUCCCCAGUUAGGAACUGAGAUCAGACGGUGAACAACAAAGAGCCCUGAGGUCUAUCUUAUGGAAUUGUGACAGCCUGCCCAGGAUAGCACUCUUGGCCACAACAAAGAGAGAAUCCUUGGAAAGGCCAAGUUUCCUCAUUCUGAAAGAUGAAGAUUAUGAAAUUGAAAGAUCGGGAUCUUAGAUCUGGACCACAUAGUGGGAGCUCAUGUUGGGGACUUAGUUCAGGAAUUCCUGGUACAUGUGUUCACACAGUGUAGCGCUUUCUGCAAAUACACAUGCAAUUCCCAUUAUCUAUAAUGGAGCUUGCACGCAUCAAGGAGAGAACAAACCCCACUGCGUAGUAUCUUUCUUGUGUGGUAUUGUGAGCACCUGGUCUACCUUAAGACAAGCCCCUUGACAAGUUCUUUGGGCACUUUGUUUUUCAUCAGGGAAGGCCAUUCCCAUCUAUGCCAUACAGAAGCAAACCCCUUCCAGGUGGCCACCUGUCUUUCCACAUGGCAAAAAUAUGGGACUUCCCUUUCCCAUGUAGACAAAUAUUUUUACAAGCAUUCUUGAUCAUGCUUUGUGGAAGCAUUCAAACAUGGAUAAAAAGUAAGUGAUGUACUUACAAAUGUAAAAGAAAAUAUAGCAUGUAUAUAGUUUAUUAUGUUUCUUCUAGUACUCAUUAAUUGGGAGCAAGAAACAAUCAU